rnacentral:rRNA from 1 species
GACGAACGCUGGCGGCGUGCUUAACACAUGCAAGUCGAACGGAAAGGCCCUGCUUUUGUGGGGUGCUCGAGUGGCGAACGGGUGAGUAACACGUGAGUAACCUGCCCUUGACUUUGGGAUAACUUCAGGAAACUGGGGCUAAUACCGGAUAGGAGCUCCUGCUGCAUGGUGGGGGUUGGAAAGUUUCGGCGGUUGGGGAUGUACUCGCGGCUUAUCAGCCUGUUGGUGGGGUAGUGGCUUACCAAGGCUUUGACGGGUAGCCGGCCUGAUGGGGUGAACGGCCGCACUGGGCCCGGAGUGGAGGCCGGAGUACUAAGGGUGGCAAGAGGGGGGAAAGCUUGACGAAGGGCCGCAGCCUGAGUCAGGAAGGCCGUGGGCGGGUAGAACGCCGUUAGGUUGGAAAACCCAUUCGGCAGGGAACUAGGCGCGUGUGGAGUAAUGGGUAAAGAAGCACCGGCUAACUACGUG